GCUCCAGUAGUGCAAUGGAUAGCAUACUGGACUUCUAAUUCAGAGGUUGUGAGUUUGAUUCUCACCUGGAGCA